GACGAACGCUGGCGGCGUGCCUAAUACAUGCAAGUCGAACGAACCGCGACUAGGUGCUUGCACUUGGUCAAGGUGAGUGGCGAACGGGUGAGUAACACGUGGGUAACCUACCUCAUAGUGGGGGAUAACAGUCGGAAACGACUGCUAAUACCGCAUAGGACAUGGAAUCACAUGAUUCCGUGAGGAAAGGUGGCGCAAGCUAUCGCUAAGAGAUGGACCCGCGGUGCAUUAGCUAGUUGGUAGGGUAACGGCCUACCAAGGCGAUGAUGCAUAGCCGACCUGAGAGGGUGAUCGGCCACAUUGGGACUGAGACACGGCCCAAACUCCUACGGGAGGCAGCAGUAGGGAAUCUUCCCGCAAUGGACGCAAGUCUGACGGAGCAA
rnacentral:rRNA from 1 species